rnacentral:rRNA from 1 species
UACGAAGGGGGCUAGCGUUGCUCGGAAUCACUGGGCGUAAAGGGUGCGUAGGCGGGUCUUUAAGUCAGGGGUGAAAUCCUGGAGCUCAACUCCAGAACUGCCCUUGAUACUGAGGAUCUUGAGUUCGGGAGAGGUGAGUGGAACUGCGAGUGUAGAGGUGAAAAUUCGUAGAUAUUCGCAAGAACACCAGUGGCGAAGGCGGCCCGCUGGGCAGUGGCUGACGCUGAGG